AUUGAACGCUGGCGGCAGGCCUAACACAUGCAAGUCGAGCGGAUGAAGGGAGCUUGCUCCUGGAUUCAGCGGCGGACGGGUGAGUAAUGCCUAGGAAUCUGCCUGGUAGUGGGGGAUAACGUCCGGAAACGGGCGCUAAUACCGCAUACGUCCUGCGGGAGAAAGCGGGGGAUCUUCGGGCCUCUCGCUAUCAGAUGAGCCUAGGUCGGAUUAGCUAGUUGGUGGGGUAAAGGCCUACCAAGGCGACGAUCCGUAACUGGUCUGAGAGGAUGAUCAGUCACACUGGAACUGAGACACGGUCCAGACUCCUACGGGAGGCAGCAGUGGGGAAUAUUGGACAAUGGGCGAAAGCCUGAUCCAGCCAUGCCGCGUGUGUGAAGAAGGUCUUCGGAUUGUAAAGCACUUUAAGUUGGGAGGAAGGGCAGUAAGUUAAUACCUUGCUGUUUUGACGUUACCGACAGAAUAAGCACCGGCUAACUACGUG
rnacentral:rRNA from 1 species